UAUUAAAUCCCACCGGGGAUUGAAUGCAGGGCAUUCGUGUACACAUCGUUAGGUCUUUGAAGAUGUGUAUAACGGAUGCCUUGAUUUG
rnacentral:ncRNA from 1 species